GAUGAACGCUGGCGGCGUGCCUAAUACAUGCAAGUCGAGCGAACAGACGAGGAGCUUGCUCCUCUGACGUUAGCGGCGGACGGGUGAGUAACACGUGGAUAACCUACCUAUAAGACUGGGAUAACUUCGGGAAACCGGAGCUAAUACCGGAUAAUAUAUUGAACCGCAUGGUUCAAUAGUGAAAGACGGUUUCGCUGUCACUUAUAGAUGGAUCCGCGCCGCAUUAGCUAGUUGGUAAGGUAACGGCUUACCAAGGCGACGAUGCGUAGCCGACCCGAGAGGGUGAUCGGCCACACUGGAACUGAGACACGGUCCAGACUCCUACGGGAGGCAGCAGUAGGGAAUCUUCCGCAAUGGGCGAAAGCCUGACGGAGCAACGCCGCGUGAGUGAUGAAGGUCUUCGGAUCGUAAAACUCUGUUAUUAGGGAAGAACAAAUGUGUAAGUAACUAUGCACGUCUUGACGGUACCUAAUCAGAAAGCCACGGCUAACUACGUG
rnacentral:rRNA from 1 species